rnacentral:rRNA from 1 species
GACGAACGCUGGCGGCGUGCCUAAUACAUGCAGGUUGAGCGCUGAAGGUUGGUACUUGUACCAACUGGAUGAGCAGCGAACGGGUGAGUAACGCGUGGGGAAUCUGCCUUUGAGCGGGGGACAACAUUUGGAAACGAAUGCUAAUACCGCAUAAAAACUUUAAACACAAGUUUUAAGUUUGAAAGAUGCAAUUGCAUCACUCAAAGAUGAUCCCGCGUUGUAUUAGCUAGUUGGUGAGGUAAAGGCUCACCAAGGCGAUGAUACAUAGCCGACCUGAGAGGGUGAUCGGCCACAUUGGGACUGAGACACGGCCCAAACUCCUACGGGAGGCAGCAGUAGGGAAUCUUCGGCAAUGGACGAAAGUCUGACCGAGCAACGCCGCGUGAGUGAAGAAGGUUUUCGGAUCGUAAAACUCUGUUGGUAGAGAAGAACGUUGGUGAGAGUGGAAAGCUCAUCAAGUGACGGUAACUACCCAGAAAGGGACGGCUAACUACG